UACAGAGGUCUCAACCGUUGUUCGGAUUCAUUGGGCGUAAAGGGUGCGUAGGCGGUCGGGUAAGUCGGAUGUGAAAUCUCAGGGCUCAACCCUGAAACUGCAUUCGAUACUGCCUGGCUAGGGUACUGGAGAGGAGACUGGAAUUUACGGUGUAGCAGUGAAAUGCGUAGAUAUCGUAAGGAAGGCCGGUGGCGAAAGCGAGCCUCUGGACAGUUACUGACGCUGAUGCACGAAGGCCAGGGGAGCAAACGGG
rnacentral:rRNA from 1 species